rnacentral:rRNA from 1 species
GACGAACGCUGGCGGCGUGCUUAACACAUGCAAGUCGAACGGAAAGGCCCUGCUUUUGUGGGGUGCUCGAGUGGCGAACGGGUGAGUAACACGUGAGUAACCUGCCCUUGACUUUGGGAUAACUUCAGGAAACUGGGGCUAAUACCGGAUAGGAGCUCCUGCUGCAUGGUGGGGGUUGGAAAGUUUCGGCGGUUGGGGAUGGACUCGCGGCUUAUCAGCUUGUUGGUGGGGUAGUGGCUUACCAAGGCUUUGACGGGUAGCCGGCCUGAGAGGGUGACCGGCCACAUUGGGACCGAGAUACGGCCCAGACUCCUACGGGAGGCAGCAGUGGGGAAUAGUGCACAGUGGGCGGAAGCCUGAUGCAGCAACGCCGCGUGCGGUAUGACGGCCUUCGGGUUGUAAACCGCUUUCGCCUGUGACGAAGCGUGAGUGACGGUAAUGGGUAAAGAAGCACCGGCUAACUACGUG